GCCGGUGAGGCUCAGUGGUUAGAGCGUGGGCCUGCGGACGGAAGGGUCCCGGGUUCGAAUCCCGGUCAAGGGCA
rnacentral:tRNA from 1 species